UAGGGAAUCUUCGGCAAUGGACGAAAGUCUGACCGAGCAACGCCGCGUGAGUGAAGAAGGUUGUCGGAUCGUAAAACUCUGUUGUUAGAGAAGAACAAGGACGUUAGUAACUGAACGUCCCCUGACGGUAUCUAACCAGAAAGCCACGGCUAACUACGUGCCAGCAGCCGCGGUAAUACGUAGGUGGCAAGCGUUGUCCGGAUUUAUUGGGCGUAAAGCGAGCGCAGGCGGUUUCUUAAGUCUGAUGUGAAAGCCCCCGGCUCAACCGGGGAGGGUCAUUGGAAACUGGGAGACUUGAGUGCAGAAGAGGAGAGUGGAAUUCCAUGUGUAGCGGUGAAAUGCGUAGAUAUAUUGAGGAACACCAGUGGCGAAGGCGGCUCUCUGGUCUGUAACUGACGCUGAGGCUCGAAAGCGUGGGGAGCAAACAGG
rnacentral:rRNA from 1 species